GCUAAAUGCACAACACAAAAACACCAAAACAAUUAAAAAAUUGCGGACGUAAAGAAAACACGCACUACUCAGAACACAAGUCGAUUCGAAUUAAAUAAGAUUGUUUGGCAUUUCGGUGCUUAAUCAAUAAAAAUUUAGAAUUUGCCAGGUAGGAAGUUUGACUGGGGCGGUACAUCUCUCAAAUAAUAACGGAGGCGUCCCAAGCCCAGCCCAGUUCGUACAGAAACCACCAAUAGAGCAAAAGGUCAAAAGCGGACUUGAUCUCGGUAUUCUGUACACACAGGGACAGCAAAAGCGCGGCCUAUCGAUCCUUUUGGUUUAAGGAGUUUUUAAUAAGAGGUGCCAGAAAAGUUACCAUAAGGAUACUUGCCUUGUGGCGGCCAAGCGUUCAUAGCGACGUCGCUUUUUGAUCCUUUGAUGUCGGCUCUUCCUAGUAUUCCGUCGUGAGACAGGUUAGUUUUAGCCUGCUAAUGACAAUAUGUUGUUGUAGUGGUAUGACGCUACAUCCGUUGGAUUAUGCCUGAACGCCUCUAAGCUCGUAUCCAAGCUGGACUGUAAUGAUCAAAAUGAGGCAAUUGCAUUGUAUGGCUUUUAAACCAUUUAAAGUUUAUCAUUUUUUUACGAUAAACGACAAUGGAAUGUGAUGCCAAUUGUUUAUUGUAACAUAACAUAUGCAGGAGUAUAUUAUCACCUGUAUGUCGCGUUAGU
rnacentral:ncRNA from 1 species